rnacentral:rRNA from 1 species
GAUGAACGCUGGCGGCGUGCCUAAUACAUGCAAGUCGAGCGAACAGACGAGGAGCUUGCUCCUCUGACGUUAGCGGCGGACGGGUGAGUAACACGUGGAUAACCUACCUAUAAGACUGGGAUAACUUCAGGAAACCGGAGCUAAUACCGGAUAAUAUAUUGAACCGCAUGGUUCAAUAGUGAAAGACGGUUUUGCUGUCACUUAUAGAUGGAUCCGCGCCGCAUUAGCUAGUUGGUAAGGUAACAGCUUACCAAGGCAACGAUGCGUAGCCGACCUGAGAGGGUGAUCGGCCACACUGGAACUGAGACACGGUCCAGACUCCUACGGGAGGCAGCAGUAGGGAAUCUUCCGCAAUGGGCGAAAGCCUGACGGAGCAACGCCGCGUGAGUGAUGAAGGUCUUCGGAUCGUAAAACUCUGUUAUUAGGGAAGAACAAAUGUGUAAGUAACUAUGCACGUCUUGACGGUACCUAAUCAGAAAGCCACGGCUAACUACGUG